rnacentral:rRNA from 1 species
AACGAACGCUGGCGGCAGGCUUAACACAUGCAAGUCGAACGCCCCGCAAGGGGAGUGGCAGACGGGUGAGUAACGCGUGGGAACGUGCCCUUCGCUUCGGAAUAGUCCCGGGAAACUGGGUUUAAUACCGGAUACGCCGUAUUGGGAAAGAUUUAUCGGCGAAGGAUCGGCCCGCGUUAGAUUAGGUAGUUGGCGGUGUAAUGGACCACCAAGCCUACGAUCUAUAGCUGGUCUGAGAGGAUGAUCAGCCACACUGGGACUGAGACACGGCCCAGACUCCUACGGGAGGCAGCAGUGGGGAAUCUUGGACAAUGGGCGCAAGCCUGAUCCAGCCAUGCCGCGUGAGUGAAGAAGGCCUUAGGGUUGUAAAACUCUUUCGCCGGAGAAGAUAAUGACGGUAUCCGGAGAAGAAGCCCCGGCUAACUUCGUGCCAGCCGCCGCCGUAAAAC